rnacentral:rRNA from 1 species
CCGUACACAAAAGCGCAUGUGCUGUGAGCUCGAUGAGUAGGGCGGGACACGUGGUAUCCUGUCUGAAUAUGGGGGGACCAUCCUCCAAGGCUAAAUACUCCUGACUGACCGAUAGUGAACCAGUACCGUGAGGGAAAGGCGAAAAGAACCCCGGCGAGGGGAGUGAAAAAGAACCUGAAACCGUGUACGUACAAGCAGUGGGAGCACAGGUUUACCUGUGUGACUGCGUACCUUUUGUAUAAUGGGUCAGCGACUUAUAUUCUGUAGCAAGGUUAACCGUAUAGGGGAGCCGGAGGGAAACCGAGUCUUAAUUGGGCGUUAAGUUGCAGGGUAUAGACCCGAAACCCGGUGAUCUAGCCAUGGGCAGGUUGAAGGUUGGGUAACACUAACUGGAGGACCGAACCGACUAAUGUUGAAAAAUUAGCGGAUGACCUGUGGCUGGGGGUGAAAGGCCAAUCAAACCGGGAGAUAGCUGGUUCUCCCCGAAAGCUAUUUAGGUAGCGCCUCGUGAAUUCAUCUCCGGGGGUAGAGCACUGUUUCGGCUAGGGGGCCAUCCCGGCUUACCAACCCGAUGCAAACUGCGAAUACCGGAGAAUGUUAUCACGGGAGACACACGGCGGGUGCUAACGUCCGUCGUGAAGAGGGAAACAACCCAGACCGCCAGCUAAGGUCCCAAAGUCAUGGUUAAGUGGGAAACGAUGUGGGAAGGCCCAGACAGCCAGGAUGUUGGCUUAGAAGCAGCCAUCAUUUAAAGAAAGCGUAAUAGCUCACUGGUCGAGUCGGCCUGCGCGGAAGAUGUAACGGGGCUAAACCAUGCACCGAAGCUGCGGCAGCGAACGUAUCACCCAAGACAACUUUACGGAGUUGACGAUUGACGGAGCGAAGCGACGUCAAAGCGUUCAUUAAAGUCGAGUUGGCUUAGGGAUACGUUCGUUGGGUAGGGGAGCGUUCUGUAAGCCUGUGAAGGUGUGUCGUGAGGCAUGCUGGAGGUAUCAGAAGUGCGAAUGCUGACAUAAGUAACGAUAAAGCGGGUGAAAAGCCCGCUCGCCGGAAGACCAAGGGUUCCUGUCCAACGUUAAUCGGGGCAGGGUGAGUCGACCCCUAAGGCGAGGCCGAAAGGCGUAGUCGAUGGGAAACGGGUUAAUAUUCCCGUACUUGGUGUUACUGCGAAGGGGGGACGGAGAAGGCUAUGUUGGCCGGGCGACGGUUGUCCCGGUUUAAGCGUGUAGGUGUGUGUUCCAGGUAAAUCCGGUUCACUUUAACACUGAGGCGUGACGACGAGGCACUACGGUGCUGAAGCAACAAAUGCCCUGCUUCCAGGAAAAGCCUCUAAGCAUCAGGUAACAUCAAAUCGUACCCCAAACCGACACAGGUGGUCAGGUAGAGAAUACCAAGGCGCUUGAGAGAACUCGGGUGAAGGAACUAGGCAAAAUGGUGCCGUAACUUCGGGAGAAGGCACGCUGACACGUAGGUGAAGUGAUUUACUCAUGGAGCUGAAGUCAGUCGAAGAUACCAGCUGGCUGCAACUGUUUAUUAAAAACACAGCACUGUGCAAACACGAAAGUGGACGUAUACGGUGUGACGCCUGCCCGGUGCCGGAAGGUUAAUUGAUGGGGUCAGCGCAAGCGAAGCUCCUGAUCGAAGCCCCGGUAAACGGCGGCCGUAACUAUAACGGUCCUAAGGUAGCGAAAUUCCUUGUCGGGUAAGUUCCGACCUGCACGAAUGGCGUAAUGAUGGCCAGGCUGUCUCCACCCGAGACUCAGUGAAAUUGAACUCGCUGUGAAGAUGCAGUGUACCCGCGGCAAGACGGAAAGACCCCGUGAACCUUUACUAUAGCUUGACACUGAACAUUGAGCCUUGAUGUGUAGGAUAGGUGGGAGGCUUUGAAGUGUGGACGCCAGUCUGCAUGGAGCCGACCUUGAAAUACCACCCUUUAAUGUUUGAUGUUCUAACGUGGACCCGUAAUCCGGGUUGCGGACAGUGUCUGGUGGGUAGUUUGACUGGGGCGGUCUCCUCCUAAAGAGUAACGGAGGAGCACGAAGGUUGGCUAAUCCUGGUCGGACAUCAGGAGGUUAGUGCAAUGGCAUAAGCCAGCUUGACUGCGAGCGUGACGGCGCGAGCAGGUGCGAAAGCAGGUCAUAGUGAUCCGGUGGUUCUGAAUGGAAGGGCCAUCGCUCAACGGAUAAAAGGUACUCCGGGGAUAACAGGCUGAUACCGCCCAAGAGUUCAUAUCGACGGCGGUGUUUGGCACCUCGAUGUCGGCUCAUCACAUCCUGGGGCUGAAGUAGGUCCCAAGGGUAUGGCUGUUCGCCAUUUAAAGUGGUACGCGAGCUGGGUUUAGAACGUCGUGAGACAGUUCGGUCCCUAUCUGCCGUGGGCGCUGGAGAACUGAGGGGGGCUGCUCCUAGUACGAGAGGACCGGAGUGGACGCAUCACUGGUGUUCGGGUUGUCAUGCCAAUGGCACUGCCCGGUAGCUAAAUGCGGAAGAGAUAAGUGCUGAAAGCAUCUAAGCACGAAACUUGCCCCGAGAUGAGUUCUCCCUGAGACUUAGAGUCUCCUGAAGGAACGUUGAAGA